UUGCUUUAUUUUCUGCUGCUUUAUUCUCUACAGAGAACGCAAGAAAAAAAAAAUUAAAAGGGGAAUCCCCUUUCUCUGCUAGGGUUCCAGACCAAGAACCCCGCCGCCGUCACGCCUCCCCGCCCGGUGGCCGGAGCCAUGCGAAGACGCUUCCUCUCGGCGCAUUGAAGCGCAUUCAGAGGUCGAAGUCAUGGAACACGGGAGCAGAAAGAAAGAGAAAAGCUUUGGUCCCUCUCCCAACCCACGUCCGGCGACGGUGAAGCACCAUCAACGGCGGGUCUAAGGGCCGAUUCAGGUGUCAGAGCAUGCGGAGGAAAGGCGGCUAGGAGCGGCGGUAGCCAGGCAUGGCAGAGGAGGCGAAACGGCGUUGGGGCUGGAGCCUGGGCAUGCGGCGCAUGGAGGCUUGGGGGCUAGGGUUUCUUAAUUUGGGCCUGUUGGGUAUUUUGGGCCACUGUUUAUUUUGGACUGUGUUUUUUUUGCUGGUAUUGGGCUUUAGUGUUUUGGGCCCGGGCAAAAUGGCUCUUACAAUGAUGUACAAAAAGCACAUAGAUUUGGAGCAUAAUUAGACUUUGUUUGCUUCACCAUAUCUAAACUAUAAAUUUGUCUAAUUCUAGUUUUAAGAGAUUUAAUCUAUUUUUUUAGUUCGACAUAA